rnacentral:lncRNA from 1 species
UAAAAAUGUUAACAAUAGACAAAGCUCACACUUAAAAUAUUAGAAGGAAGAUUGUCAGCAAAGACCAUCAUAGCAAGUAUUACAGUUUCAAGGUGGAUCUUACACCAUCGUGCUUACUCAUUCAAGAACGAAAAAUUCCUACAGCCUACGCAGCCCAUCAUCGAAUCCAAAAACCAAUGAACACCCACAAAGUAUCAUCGAACCGUUAUGCUUCAAAACUACAGAAACACUUAAGAGGAGGGUUCUAAGGACUCACUACCAGCACUCUUUUCUGGCUGAGAACGUCCCUUUACUGAGGCAAAUCAGAAACAUUGACUUUCUAUGAAGCAGAAACACUUAAGAGGAGGGUUCUAAGGACUCACUACCAGGACCAUUUUCUUCAAAGGAAUCAGAAACAUUGACUUUCUAUGAAGCAGGAACUCUGGGAGCAGGCACAUCAGCGACAGGAACUCUGGGAGCAGGCACAUCAGCAACAGGAACUCUGGGAGCAGGCACAUCAGUAACAGGAACUGGAACUGGAACUAUUGGAGCUGGCACAUCAGGAAUAGGAACUCUGGGAGCAGGCACAUCAGCAACAGGAACUCUGGGAGCAGGCACAUCAGCAACAGGAACUCUGGGAGCAGGCACAUCAGCAAGAGGAACUCUGGGAGCAGGCACAUCAGUAACAGGAACUGGAACUGUCGGAGCAGGCACAUCAGGAAUAGGAGUUGUGGCAGCUGGCACAUCAGGAACAGAAACUGUGGGAGCAGGCAGAACAACUGUGGGAGCUGGCACAUCAGGAAUAGGAACUGGAGCAGACAGAACAGGAACUGAGGGAGGAACAGUAACUGUGGGUGCAGGUGGAACAGGAGGCACUGGGAGAUCGAUGUCAGGAAACAGCUCAGUGUAUUUUGCCAGCCUCUGUUGACACAAGUCAAUGGACUCACCGUGUGCGACAUGCGCGAUACGGUACAACUGGACAGGAGUGAAUUUAAUCAUAACCAUUACCAGGACCACGCAAGGGUAAAAAUCCUUAAGCUGCAAGCAAAAACUAUAAAGUGCUCUGGCAAGCCAUAACAGCCAUCGUGGAAGCACUGCCAAGAUCCGAUCCCAAAAGAAAUGAAUCCAGAGCUUUUCACCAGCAAUUCUUUUCCUCUAUUUAUCAUGGGCAGUCUUGAGAUCAUAAACCGCUCUAGAAAUGUAUCUCAAGCGAGCAACAGCCAAAGAUAGAUGAUGCAGGUCAUGCCCAGCCGCCAAUCUCUCCCAUGCUUCAAUUCUGAGCUGAGUAUCUUUUGCUUCGGUCUUUUCUUGCGUAAUGUCAGCCAUAUCUUCAACUUGAUUUUCUGUGGAUGGAAUCUGCAUCAUAUGCUAACAAUUCAUGAGUACAAUAUUAACAACUGUAGCGAAUCCUACAGACCAACUAAGGUGGUCAAAGUAAUGCAUAUCAAAAUACCAAAGAUACGGCGCUACUUCAGCCGCAAAAUAGCGAGAAUCUCUUCAAAACAGGACAUCCAAAACAUCAAAGAUGAUAGUAUGCACCAAGUUUAACAGGAAAAAUUAUAGAACAGAUAUAACCUUCAAUAUAUCCAGUAAACAACAGUAAGAACCAGUAAACACAACAAAACGGUUAGCCACUUCCAACUAUGUCCAACAAUUUGAAGAAUUAUCAUCGUCAGAGGAAGCAAAUUACGUCAUCUUAACCAGAUUAAGUUAGCAAAACACACACUGGACCAAAACACUAAAUCCCUCCCUCUCUCCCCCUCUGUCUCACUCUCUCGACAUGACAGUAACAUAAAUCAAGCUACUUCAGCCACAAAAUUAGUGAAACGUACAGACCAUCAAACUAACACAAAUCCUACAGACAAUAAUACAAACACAAUAUACAGAAGCACGCACACACAAGUAACAUUGCCAGCAUCACUUUAAAACAGGACAUCCAAAACAUCAAAGAAGAUAGUAUGCAACAAGUUAAAUAUUGUAACUGAGAUAACCAUCAAUAUACCCAAUAAACAACUGUAAGAACCAGUAUACACAACAAAAUGGUUAUGCCACUUCAACUACUUCCAACCAUUUGAAGAUCUAUUAUCUUCAGGGCAAUCAAAUUCAUUUUCCUUCACCUUAACGAGAUUAAGUUAGCAAAACACACACUGGACGAAAACAUUUAAUCUCCAUGACAACAACCAAAGACUAGUCAUGCAACUAAGGUGGUCAAAGUGAAGCAUAUCAAAAUAACAGAGAUACUGCUACUUCAGCUGCUAAAUAGCGAAUCCUACAGACCAACUAAGGUGGUCAAAGUGAUGCGUAUCAAAAUACCAGAGAUACUGCUACUUCAGCAGCAAAAUAGCGAAUCCUACAGACCAUCAUACUAACUCAAUACACAGAAGCCAGGCACUCACACAAGUAACAUAGCGAGCAUCUCCUCAAAACAGGACAUCCAAAACAUCAAUGAUGAUAGCAUGCACCAAGUUUAACAGGAAAAAUUAUAGAACAGAUAUAACCUUCAAUAUAUCCAGUAAACAACAGUAAGAACCAGCAAACACAACAAAACGGUUAGCCAAUUCAACUAUUUCCAACAAUUAGAAGAAUUAUCAUCUUCAGAGGAAGCAAAUUACGUCAUCUUAACCAGAUUAAGUUAGCAAAACACACUGGACCAAAACACUUAAUCUCCAUAACACAAACCGAAGACUAGUUAUGCAACUAAUGUGGUCAAAGUGAUGCAUUUCAAGGCACUGAAUAGUAAAACUGAACUGAUUACUAAUCAAGCAUGUCAUAGUAAUCCCACCAAUUGAGAGUUCAGAGGGCAAAUAGAACAAACAGAACUGUGGUUACCUGCACAUCAACAGGCUCCAAUUCUCCAGGGCUUGAGAUCAUAUCUCCUUCUGCAGAUUUGGUUUCCAAUUCUGAUUGCAUUGCGGAAAGCUCCCUUGAAACAGCAUUUGUCAGCCUGAAAUUCGGUAGGUUUACUGCUAUCAGAAGAAGAACAGAGUAAUUUCGACAAA